UAUAAGCACCAAGAAAAAUACAAGUCUAUGAGGAGUAUUUUUCUACUGGAACCAGCUAUGAGAUUUGAGUCAGUUCAAUACCAAUUCCAAUGUCAAAAUGCUUCAGAUACUGGCUGAAAUGACAGCUUAGGGUUGUCAGCUUAUCCCUGUCCCAGGCCUGGAGCUCUAUGGGGAAGAGAGGAGUCUGCAGGAGCUGUCUGACUGCCAGUCAGUGUCAACUCACCACUGUAAUCCUCUACUGCCUUCGAUAAGGAUAAAGCAGAGAAGACUGGGGUAGCAGGAAAGGAGAAACGAGAAAAUGUAAAAGCAUGACUGUUUUUAAAACAUUUCAUUAAAUGAUGGCUCUUGGAGAAUAACUAAAAAUUUUUUAAGCAACUAAACCAGAUUCCAGUCUUUCUUAAAUAAUGCUCACUGAGUGAGCUAUAGAUGAAAGAGCAAAGAGCCACUCUGCACUAUGUAAUACUGUUACAGGGAAAUGUGGUAUGUUUAAACCUUGGCCCUAUUUUGACAUAAUUUGGG